UACGGAGGAUGCGAGCGUUAUCCGGAUUUAUUGGGUUUAAAGGGUGCGCAGGCGGAUUUUUAAGUCAGCGGUCAAAUCGUGGGGCUCAACCCCAUCCAGCCGUUGAAACUGGGGAUCUAGAGUGUGCGAGAGGUAUGUGGAAUGCGUGGUGUAGCGGUGAAAUGCAUAGAUAUCACGCAGAACCCCGAUUGCGAAGGCAGCAUACCGGUGCACAACUGACGCUCAGGCACGAAAGCGUGGGUAUCGAACAGG
rnacentral:rRNA from 1 species